UAGGGAAUCUUCCACAAUGGGCGCAAGCCUGAUGGAGCAACACCGCGUGAGUGAAGAAGGGUUUCGGCUCGUAAAGCUCUGUUGUUAAAGAAGAACACGUAUGAGAGUAACUGUUCAUACGUUGACGGUAUUUAACCAGAAAGUCACGGCUAACUACGUGCCAGCAGCCGCGGUAAUACGUAGGUGGCAAGCGUCAUCCGGAUUUAUUGGGCGUAAAGAGAGUGCAGGCGGUUUUCUAAGUCUGAUGUGAAAGCCUUCGGCUUAACCGGAGAAGUGCAUCGGAAACUGGAUAACUUGAGUGCAGAAGAGGGUAGUGGAACUCCAUGUGUAGCGGUGGAAUGCGUAGAUAUAUGGAAGAACACCAGUGGCGAAGGCGGCUACCUGGUCUGCAACUGACGCUGAGACUCGAAAGCAUGGGUAGCGAACAGGAUUAGAUACCCUGGUAGUCCAUGCCGUAAACGAUGAGUGCUAGGUGUUGGAGGGUUUCCGCCCUUCAGUGCCGGAGCUAACGCAUUAAGCACUCCGCCUGGGGAGUACGACCGCAAGGUUG
rnacentral:rRNA from 1 species